UGAGUGUUCAGAUGGAGUCUUUACUUCAGA
rnacentral:piRNA from 1 species